CAUGUAGGCGGAUUGAUAAGUUUGAAGUGAAAUCCUAUAGCUUAACUAUAGAACUGCUUUGAAAACUGUUAAUCUAGAAUGUGGGAGAGGUAGAUGGAAUUUCUGGUGUAGGGUAAAUCCGUAGAGAUCAGAAGGAAUACCGAUUGCGAAGGCGAUCUACUGGAACAUUAUUGACGCUGAGAUGCGAAAGCGUGGGGAGCAAACA
rnacentral:rRNA from 1 species